UACGGGGGGGGCAAGCGUUGUUCGGAAUUACUGGGCGUAAAGGGCUCGUAGGCGGCCAACUAAGUCAGACGUGAAAUCCCUCGGCUUAACCGGGGAACUGCAUCUGAUACUGGAUGGCUUGAGAUUGGGAGAGGGAUGCGGAAUUCCAGGUGUAGCGGUGAAAUGCGUAGAUAUCUGGAGGAAUACCGGUGGCGAAGGCGGCAUCCUGGACCGGCAUUGACGCUGAGGAGCUAAAGCCAGGGGAGCAAACGGG
rnacentral:rRNA from 1 species